rnacentral:rRNA from 1 species
GUGGGGAAUCUUGCGCAAUGGGCGAAAGCCUGACGCAGCCAUGCCGCGUGAAUGAUGAAGGUCUUAGGAUUGUAAAAUUCUUUCACCGGGGACGAUAAUGACGGUACCCGGAGAAGAAGCCCCGGCUAACUUCGUGCCAGCAGCCGCGGUAAUACGAAGGGGGCUAGCGUUGCUCGGAAUUACUGGGCGUAAAGGGCGCGUAGGCGGACAGUUUAGUCAGAGGUGAAAGCCAAGGGCUAAACCUUGGAAUUGCCUUUGAUACUGGCUGUCUUGAGUACGGAAGAGGUGAGUGGAACUCCGAGUGUAGAGGUGAAAUUCGUAGAUAUUCGGAAGAACACCAGUGGCGAAGGCGACUCACUGGCCCGUUACUGACGCUGAGGCGCGAAAGCGUGGGGAGCAAACAGGAUUAGAUACCCCUGUAGUCC